AUUGAACGCUGGCGGCAGGCCUAACACAUGCAAGUCGAACGAGUGGCGGACGGGUGAGUAAUGUCUGGGAAACUGCCUGAUGGAGGGGGAUAACUACUGGAAACGGUAGCUAAUACCGCAUACCAUCAGAUGUGCCCAGAUGGGAUUAGCUUGUGGGUGGGGUAACGGCUCACCUAGGCGACGAUCCCUCGCUGGUCUGAGAGGAUGACAAGCCACACUGGAACUGAGACACGGUCCAGACUCCGACGGGAGGCAGCAGUGGGGAAUAUUGCACAAUGGGCGCAAGCCUGAUACAGCCAUGCCGCGUGUAUGAAGAAGGCCUUCGGGUUGUAAAGUACUUUCAGCGGGGAGGCGUUACCCGCAGAAGAAGCACCGGCUAACUCCGUGCCAGCAGCCGCGGUAAUUC
rnacentral:rRNA from 1 species